rnacentral:rRNA from 1 species
AGUGAACGCUGGCGGUAGGCCUAACACAUGCAAGUCGAACGGCAGCACAGUAAGAGCUUGCUCUUACGGGUGGCGAGUGGCGGACGGGUGAGGAAUACAUCGGAAUCUACUUUUUCGUGGGGGAUAACGUAGGGAAACUUACGCUAAUACCGCAUACGACCUACGGGUGAAAGCAGGGGAUCUUCGGACCUUGCGCGAUUGAAUGAGCCGAUGUCGGAUUAGCUAGUUGGCGGGGUAAAGGCCCACCAAGGCGACGAUCCGUAGCUGGUCUGAGAGGAUGAUCAGCCACACUUGAACUGAGACACGGUCAAGACUCCAACGGGAGGCAGCAGUGGGGAAUAUUGGACGAUGGGCGCAAGCCUGAUCCAGCCAUACCGCGUGGGUGAAGAAGGCCUUCGGGUUGUAAAGCCCUUUUGUUGGGAAAGAAAAGCAGCAGGUUAAUACCCCGCUGUUCUGACGGUACCCAAAGAAUAAGCACCGGCUAACUUCGUG